CACUCCUACGGGAGGCAGCAGUGGGGAAUAUUGCACAAUGGGCGCAAGCCUGAUGCAGCCAUGCCGCGUGUAUGAAGAAGGCCUUCGGGUUGUAAAGUACUUUCAGCAGUGAGGAAGUGGAUAUGUUAAUAGCAUAUUCAUUUGACGUUAGCUGCAGAAGAAGCACCGGCUAACUCCGUGCCAGCAGCCGCGGUAAUACGGAGGGUGCGAGCGUUAAUCGGAAUUACUGGGCGUAAAGCGCAUGCAGGUGGUUUGUUAAGUCAGAUGUGAAAGCCCGGGGCUCAACCUCGGAAUUGCAUUUGAAACUGGCAAACUAGAGUACUGUAGAGGGGGUAGAAUUUCAGGUGUAGCGGUGAAAUGCGUAGAGAUCUGAAGGAAUACCGGUGGCGAAGGCGGCCCCCUGGACAGAUACUGACACUCAGAUGCGAAAGCGUGGGGAGCAAACAGGAUUAGAUACCCUGGUAG
rnacentral:rRNA from 1 species